rnacentral:rRNA from 1 species
AAUCAACGCUGGCGGCGUGCCUCAGACAUGCAAGUCGAACGAUUAAAGCUCUCUUCGGAGAGUGUAUAGAGUGGCGCACGGGUGAGUAACACGUAAGUAAUCUACCCUCGAGUGGGGAAUAACGUCCGGAAACGGACGCUAAUACCGCAUAAUGCAGCGGCACCGCAAGGUGACAGUUGUUAAAGAUUUAUCGCUUGAGGAGGAGCUUGCGGCAGAUUAGCUAGUUGGUAAGGUAAUGGCUUACCAAGGCUACGAUCUGUAACCGGUCUAAGAGGACGGUCGGUCACACUGACACU